AUUGAACGCUGGCGGCAUGCCUUACACAUGCCAAGUCGAACGGCAGCACGGGAGCAAUCCUGGUGGCGAGUGGCGAACGGGUGAGUAAUAUAUCGGAACGUGCCCGGUCGUGGGGGGAUAAACGUAGCCGAAAGCUACGCUAAUACCGCAUACGAUCUACGGAUGAAAGCGGGGGAUCGCAAGACCUCGCGCGAUUGGAGCGGCCGAUAUCAGAUUAGGUAGUUGGUGAGGUAAAGGCUCACCAAGCCGACGAUCUGU
rnacentral:rRNA from 1 species